rnacentral:lncRNA from 1 species
CAGUUCGCAGUAGUACAUUGAAUCAAAAGUUUAGUCGAUACCCAAACAUACAAACGGGCUCGACCACUACAUGUGGCUGUUUGUGCCUAGAUGGACAUUUUUAUGAAAACUGCAUAAACUCAAAAAUAAAUCAAUCCAAACUGUCCCCAAGUUUAUGAAACCUCAUAAGAAUAAAUUAUUAAAAUAGCCAAAUAAAAUAAAAGGGGGUUUUAUUCAAACUUACCAUCCUAUCACCUGCUGAAUUUUAGGACCAAAUUCUUCAACCUUAGGACCAAACCUCCCCUUUAUUAAAAUCCCUCCCUUCCCCUCCCCUCUGUUGAACCAAACAGACCCUUAGGACCAAAUUCUUCAACCUGAAAUAAGAUAAAUCACAAUCAUUAUUUGAAUUUUUUUAAAAAAAAGAAAAGGAUAUUUAUAAUGAAAAGAAAAAGAAAAAGAAAGAAUAACCUCAGUUGGGGU